CCUACGGGAGGCAGCAGUCGAGAAUCAUUCACAAUGGGGGAAACCCUGAUGGUGCGACGCCGCGUGGGGGAAUGAAGGUCUUCGGAUUGUAAACCCCUGUCAUGUGGGAGCAAAUUAAAAAGAUAGUACCACAAGAGGAAGAGACGGCUAACUCUGUGCCAGCAGCCGCGGUAAUACAGACGGCUCAAGCGGUGUACGGAAUCACUGGGCAUGAAGCGUGCGGAGGCUGUUUCGUAAGUCGUGUGUGAAAGGCGCGGGCUCAACCCGCGGACGGCACAUGAUACUGCGAGACUAGAGUAAAGGAGGGGGAACCGGAAUUCUCGGUGUAGCGGUGAAAUGCGUAGAUAUCGAGAGGAACACUCGUGGCGAAGGCGGGUUCCUGGACAUUAACUGACGCUGAGGCACGAAGGCCAGGGGAGCGAAAGGGAUUAGAUACCCCUGUAGUC
rnacentral:rRNA from 1 species